UACGGAGGAGGCAAGCGUUAUCCGGAAUGAUUGGGCGUAAAGCGUCCGUAGGUGGUUUUUCCAGUCGGCUGUUAAAGAGCAAAGCUCAACUUUGUAAAGGCAGUGGAAACUGAAAGACUAGAGAGCCGUAGGGGUAGAGGGAAUUCCCGGUGUAGCGGUGAAAUGCGUAGAGAUCGGGAAGAACACCGGUGGCGAAAGCGCUCUACUGGACGGCAUCUGACACUCACAGGACGAAAGCUAGGGGAGCGAAUGGG
rnacentral:rRNA from 2 species